UAGUAAUGCUGCUUUUAGGUUGUAUUACUUAUUUCUUUCAAAAUAAUACAUUUCUUAGUACCUACAGUGAAUUGACUAAAAGAACCGUUAGACCUGGUGAAUUGCGGGAGAGUCACCUUUUAGGUGUUCUGGUACUGGUGAAAACGAACCUAUUUUAAAAAUUUAAAAUUCCCAUAAAAAAUUUUUGCAAACUGCGUUGAACUCACACUCACACGCAUAAAAAUUGAAGUCGUUGGCAACACUGGGUCAGGCACGCAUGUGCGCGAUGAAACCACAGAACGUGUUCUCAAUGCUUGCAUCACGAUUCUCGAAUGAGACAGCCCUCCUCCUGUCCUUGUUGGCUUGUGAAAAAAUAUUGACGGCUGGGAUACGAUGCAGUGUGAGUUCAACGUUUUUAAAUUCAAGCAUCCAGAAAAAUGUCUGAAGCGGCUUUGGCGCUCGCAACAGCGAAUUUCCCGGGGACGUGAAGGUGAAAAAUUGUAUGAUAUAAAUUAAUACAUCCCAAAAAUUCACACAUCCAAAUGAACGUUGUAUUGAAUGAAAUUGAAGUCCAUGUUGAUGUAACAUGUUCGUUGAGGGUGUGGGAAUGAACGUCAGUUUCACGUCCCCAACCUAGCCGCUAAAGCGACAUUAGUGAAUGCAAUCGGGACAAUAAGGAUGUCUGAAUAAGGAGUGGUUCAGAGGGGUCAAGGACGUGGUCAUUAUUAUUAGAAGGCUUAUAAUUAAUUCAGAUGUUUUAAAUAUA